GGCUUAGAGUUUGAUCAUGGCUCAGGAUAAACGCUGGCGGCGCACAUAAGACAUGCAAGUCGAACGGACAGAAUCCGAAUGUUUCAUUUGGAGGAUGUUAGUGGCGGACUGGUGAGUAACGCGUAAGGAACCUGCCUAUUAGAGGGGAAUAACAGUGAGAAAUCAUUGCUAAUACCGCAUAUACCAUAAUAGUUGCAUGACUAAAAUGGGAAAGGAGAAAUCCGCUAAUAGAUGGCCUUGCGUCUGAUUAGGUAGUUGGUGGGGUAAAGGCCUACCAAGCCGACGAUCAGUAGCCGGACUGAGAGGUUGAACGGCCACAUUGGGACUGAGAUACGGCCCAGACUCCUACGGGAGGCAGCAGUCGGGAAUAUUGCGCAAUGGAGGAAACUCUGACGCAGUGACGCCGCGUAUAGGAAGAAGGUUUUCGGAUUGUAAACUAUUGUCGUUAGGGAAGAGAAAGGACGGUACCUAAGGAGGAAGCUCCGACUAACUACGUGCCAGCAGCCGCGGUAAUACGUAGGGAGCAAGCGUUAUCCGGAAUUAUUGGGUGUAAAGGGUGCGUAGACGGGAAUACAAGUUAGUUGUGAAAUCCCUCGGCUUAACUGAGGAACUGCAACUAAAACUAUAUUUCUUGAGUACAGGAGAGGUAAGUGGAAUUCCUAGUGUAGCGGU
rnacentral:rRNA from 1 species